AUGCUCACCGCCAAGGACGGCGAGUGGGAC
rnacentral:sRNA from 1 species